CCCACCGCUCUCCACCAGACCACGCUGAAUCAUAUGCCGGGAUGAUGCACCGCCACCCUCUCCUCACGCGGACGCGUUGGCCUGGAUGCCGCUGCUGCCCCAGUUCGCCCGCCCCUGCAACCUUUGUCUCCUGAAGCUAAGCGUGCCUGCAGGAGCAAGAAAGGCCAAUUCUGGACGGGGAUUGCAAUCAACCAUCCAUGUUGCUUUGCUGGAAUUCCAUGUAUGGCUUUGGUGGAUUAAUUCCAUGAAUGAAGUCUGAAAUAAAUUGCCAUUUUAUUGCCUCUCCCAUGGUGCGACUCAUCCUGUACUUGCUUUGGCUUGGAUCGCUUCAUUCUGCCCAACUCAGAGGAUAACAGCCCAUUGUUGGAAGAGGCGGCCGCCGAACAAGAUGAUGUUAAAGAGCCCCUUCCGUAUCUGUAACUUGAAGCAGUAGUACUCCCUGGCGCUAACAAAUCUAGUGGACUGCGCUAGGUCGAUAGCAUCCUGAUAUGGGUUACCAUCGACGUCAUCUACAUGCUCAAGUGGUUAAAAAAGCACAGUAAAUCAUUACGAUGGUCUUCAUCUUGGUCAGACAGAUCGUUACAAUGGCCUUCAUCUCGUCGAGUUAAAUCACCUUCUUGGUCAUCAUCCCGUUCAGGUAAAUGAUCGUUUUCUAUGUCAUGUUGUGUAGACAUACCAUCUGGACCUGAAAUAAUGUUACUUUGUAAUUGUAAUGUGAUAAAUGCGGAAAACCAUAUUUGUUCAUAGCAGUCUACGGAAAUAAUAAUAAAUAAAAGCUGGUACUUCAUACACACCUGCUUGUAAAUCAGAAUUGCCCACUAAAACUUGAGGUAGCUCAGCAUAUGGCAUCUUACGAUUCCAGCCAGUCUCCCCACCCGGAAAAAAUAAUGGAUAUGCCAAGGGAUCAUAGCAGCCAUAGUACGCUCUAAUAUACAGGGGAUCACCUCCUUUUCCAUGCACGACAACACUCCUAUCGAAGCAGUUCAUCGGGUCAUUCCCUUCAACCCAUAUCGCAGCCACUUCCGAAGCUGUCGGUGCAUUGUAUCUGCGUUGAUCCAAAGUUAUAUUUGUGUUUAGCUCAAUCCUGUACUCAUCUAGAUUUGAAUAUGACCCGACAGUCUUGAAAGUCUGCACAUAUGGAUUGUGCUCGAGUAUUCUCAGUAUUUUCCGAAUGAGAUCUAGAUUAAGAUCAGGUGACCUCUGGACCCUAUGAGAUAAUGAUUCAUCGCUAUCAUAAAUGUAUAGCUGCAAAUGCCGUGGCCCAUUAUCGCCAUGUACCAGAUCAUCCAUUUUGUAGUACAUAAUUCCAUGUGCCCGAAAUGUAUAGUUGCCGGUUCCUGCUGCAGUGCUAACUCGGCGAUCUAGUGUAACUCCAAGACUCGUGAAUGAGAAGUGCGAGUUGAAAUAUCUGAUAUUCUGUCUAAAAUAUUUAGCAUCGUCGUCUUCCUGACUUGUCCACAACCUUUUCAAUUCAUCAGGAACAUCCGGAAUAAACACUUGGACUCUUCCUUUUCUACAGCAAAAUGCAGGUCCCUCAAAUUGGAACCUAAUAGCUCCACAGUGGUCGCAGUCUUUAACCUUUUUUAGAACAUGGUGUUUUUUUGGUAGAUUUUUAUAUAUGAUGCUAUCAGCAAUAGUAUUUACUUGUGCUUCAUUGUUACUGUGUGGUUCUUGUCGAUACGAUUGAUAUUCAACACCUAGAAAUAAUAAUUCAAUCCGUCAAAUUAAAGUAUAAUAUUAGUAACAAAAUAAUUUUAUGCUUAAUAAAUAUACGUACGAUGUCCGCUGAAUAUCCUUGCUUCCUCGUCAAUAUCACCAUCUGGUGGAGUUUGGUUAUUCACUUCUGUGUCCAAGCAUUCUAGCAACACAAAAUUAUUAGCUUUGAGGAAAAAAAUUAUUAGCUUUGAGGAAAAAAAUUAUUAGUUGCAUAUGUGAAUUACCAGGCAAGCUCUGAUGGAUAUUAGAGGGUUCAAAUAAUCCUGGAUCUGCUACCACUGUGUCAGUCUGGAUAUCUUUAUCAUCAUUGUUGUUACAGUCUCCUUCUGAGCAUCGGUAGUAGAAAUU